CACAGGUGUGUGUUUGUGUGAGUGUGUAACAGCACUCCAAGACGGAACAGAUGACGGUGGCAUUUCAGAGAAUCAGUACCUGUACAGCUGAAGAAGAAGAAAAAGAAGACAGCCAGACUGACUGGAAGAAAGGCUGAUGACCCCGUUGAAAAAACAUCACAUGCUGGUUAGAGUUUGAAACGAGGAGCUUUGGGUUACCGCCAUCUAUCUGGAACACACCACCACAUCUUGUCAGUUAAUACAGAUCCUACGAGCAUGAGACAAAUACACAAAACUGAGAAGAUAUGGGGGUGUCCCACAUUACACAUGGACUUGGAAGAUGAUUCUGGUUGUCAAGGGAUCCUUUCCACAUUUUAGGGAUUCUCAGAAGCGGAAGUCAUCAUAAUUGGGAAAAUUUCUAUAGUGGUGAAGGGAAAAUAUAAACAUAUAUUCCCCUAUAUGACUUUAAAAGAGGGGAAAAAAAUUUGAUAGAUUGAUAAUUGUUAGAAAAAUUUCAUAUGUGUUGUCACUCUCUCAGCCAUUGUAUUAUAAACACUUACAGCAGUGUUAACCAGUUUUUAUUUUUAUUUUUUUUCUUCAUUUAAUGCCAAGGUAGUACAACACAAAGUAUAGUGCUAUAAGUGUAGAUGAAAGGGGUCAUGAACUGAGAAACCAAAAUUGCCUUGAUCUUUUGAAAUGUAUGAGGUGAUUGUACUAUAAAAACAUCCUGUAAGUUUCAGAACUUAGAACUUUUCAUUAUUCUACAAACAGCUCGUAUUGAAGCCAGUCGGCCAGAAUGACAGCUUUAAGAAUGUUCUAUACUCUAUGAUGUAAUAGUGUGGCUAAGCACCGCCUCCACAGUAGAAGUUCAAUGCCUGCUUCGACAUCACUGUCUGUUUAGCCCCGCCCACCGAUUUGCAUUAAUUUUAACAGUUAUUAAUGCGUUUUUGACUUAAAUCACAGCAGCAUCUAUCUGUGAGGAAUGUACACUGUCAAACAUACACAACUAUUAGCCAAUCACAGCACUGGGCGUUUACUUCUGAGUCUGCAGUCCACCACGCUUGUUCAGACAGAGCGUUCUGAUGAGAGGGGUUAAAACAAAGGCAGUCCAUGACCCCUUAAAAGUUUUUGUGUGUAAAUUAAAAUAAAUUUCAAGGUAAUGCAUUCUGGGAAAUGAAGUGUUUUUCCUCUGAUGUCCAUAAAAUUGAUUUAUUAAAUAUGAUGAAAUAAAUAGCUAAACACAGUUGUCUAUAGUUGGCAAAGUUUAAAGUGGCUAUGUGUAAAAUGGCAGUUUAUGACU